CUACAGAGGGUGCAAGCGUUAUUCGGAAUUACUGGGCGUAAAGCGCGCGUAGGCGGAUGAUUAAGUCAGUUGUGAAAGCCCUGGGCUCAACCUAGGAACUGCAUCUGAUACUGGUCGUCUAGAGUUUAAGAGAGGGAAGUGGAAUUCCAGGUGUAGCAGUGAAAUGCGUAGAUAUCUGGAGGAACAUCAGUGGCGAAGGCGACUUCCUGGCUUAAAACUGACGCUGAGGUGCGAAAGCGUGGGUAGCGAACGGGAUUAGAUACCCUAGUAGUCC
rnacentral:rRNA from 1 species